AUAUUCCUGUACUUGGUGUUACUGCGAAGGGGGGACGGAGAAGGCUAUGUUGGCCGGGCGACGGUUGUCCCGGUUUAAGCGUGUAGGCUGGUUUUCCAGGCAAAUCCGGAAAAUCAAGGCUGAGGCGUGAUGACGAGGCACUACGGUGCUGAAGCAACAAAUGCCCUGCUUCCAGGAAAAGCCUCUAAGCAUCAGGUAACAUCAAAUCGUACCCCAAACCGACACAGGUGGUCAGGUAGAGAAUACCAAGGCGCUUGAGAGAACUCGGGUGAAGGAACUAGGCAAAAUGGUGCCGUAACUUCGGGAGAAGGCACGCUGAUAUGUAGGUGAAGCGACUUGCUCGUGGAGCUGAGAUCAGUCGAAGAUACCAGCUGGCUGCAACUGUUUAUUAAAAACACAGAACUGUGCAAACACGAAAGUGGACGUAUACGGUGUGACGCCUCCCCGGUGCCGGAAGGUUAAUUGAUGGGGUCAGCGCAAGCGAAGCUCUUGAUCGAAGCCCCGGUAAACGGCGGCCGUAACGAUAACGGUCCUAAGGUAGCGAAAUUCCUUGUCGGGUAAGUUUCGACCUGCACGAAUGGCGUAAUGAUGGCCAGGCUGUCUCCACCCGAGACUCAGUGAAAUUGAACUCGCUGUGAAGAUGCAGUGUACCCGCGGCAAGACGGAAAGACCCCGUGAACCUUUACUAUAGCUUGACACUGAACAUUGAGCCUUGAUGUGUAGGAUAGGUGGGAGGCUUUGAAGUGUGGACGCCAGUCUGCAUGGAGCCGACCUUGAAAUACCACCCUUUAAUGUUUGAUGUUCUAACGUGGACCCGUGAUCCGGGUUGCGGACAGUGUCUGGUGGGUAGUUUGACUGGGGCGGUCUCCUCCUAAAGAGUAACGGAGGAGCACGAAGGUUGGCUAAUCCUGGUCGGACAUCAGGAGGUUAGUGCAAUGGCAUAAGCCAGCUUGACUGCGAGCGUGACGGCGCGAGCAGGUGCGAAAGCAGGUCAUAGUGAUCCGGUGGUUCUGAAUGGAAGGGCCAUCGCUCAACGGAUAAAAGGUACUCCGGGGAUAACAGGCUGAUACCGCCCAAGAGUUCAUAUCGACGGCGGUGUUUGGCACCUCGAUGUCGGCUCAUCACAUCCUGGAGCUGAAGUAUGUCCCAAGGGUAUGGCUGUUCGCCAUUUAAAGUGGUACGCGAGCUGGGUUUAGAACGUCGUGAGACAGUUCGGUCCCUAUCUGCCGUGGGCGCUGGAGAACUGAGGGGGGCUGCUCCUAGUACGAGAGGACCGGAGUGGACGCAUCACUGGUGUUCGGGUUGUCAUGCCAAUGGCACUGCCCGGUAGCUAAAUGCGGAAGAGAUAAGUGCUGAAAGCAUCUAAGCACGAAACUUGCCCCGAGAUGAGUUCUCCCUGACUCCUUGAGAGUCCUGAAGGAACGUUGAAGACGACGACGUUGAUAGGCCGGGUGUGUAAGCGCAGCGAUGCGUUGAGCUAACCGGUACUAAUGAACCGUGAGGCUUAACCC
rnacentral:rRNA from 1 species